GUCACAUGCAGUUUUGCGCGGGCAGCGGCCAGAUGUGCUUGUUACCUGCACCAGAACAGUGGAUGCGAGUCACGCAACAUUCGAGUUAGAAACAAACAGAAACUAAACAGAAAAGAAUGAGUGAAGCAGAGCAAUGUGCAAGUAAGUCUGUUAACAACCCGGACAAUUUAGUACCUAAAAAAGGAUCUUAUUCCGAAGUGUGGAUUUACUUCGGUUUCAAACCAGAUGAUGAUACUCAGCAAACCAUAUACUGCAAGGAAUGUUCAGCAAUUGUUUCUGCACCAAAGGGUAACACCACAAAUUUGUUUAAUCACCUGAAACGUAAUCAUAUACAACAGUAUGAAAUGGUACGGAAAAACAAAGCCGCUCAAUCACAAAGUAGGCCUACCUGCAGCCAGACAAAGCAAACGUCAAUUCAAGCAACAUUAUUCAAUGCAACACAGUACCCAACAACCUCCCCCAGACACAAAGAAAUAACGGACGCAAUCGCGUUUCACCUGGCUAAAGAUAUGGCUCCCGUGACUACCGUUGCAAAAGACGGGUUUAAAAAACUCAUCCAAACCCUUGAUAAGCGCUAUUGCGUGCCCUCUCGUAAUUAUUUUUCGCACGUUGCAAUCCCUGCUCUGUACAACAAAUGUCGCGAAACAGUUGAGACAGAAUUGCGAGACGUACACAACUUUGCAGCAACUUCAGAUUUAUGGACCAGCAGAGCAAUGGAACCAUACAUGAGCAUGACGAUCCAUUUCAUUACUGAUGAUUUUGACAUGAAAAGUCGCUGCCUAAAAACUGGGUUUUUCCCUGAGGACCACACUGGUGAAGCUUUGGCGCAAGGAUUAAAGGAUGCUCUCAUAAACUGGAAGUUAGAGGAGGAGAAUCUUGUGUGCAUCACUACAGACAACGGAAGCAACAUUGUAAAAGCAACAUCCAUAAAUGACUGGAUGCGACUUCAGUGUUUUGGCCAUAGGCUUCAUCUUGCAAUAGAGAAUGCAAUGAAGGACCCACGAAUUGAACGUGCUAUGGGUUUGUGCAAAAAGCUUGUGGGGUGUUUCAGCUACAGUUGGAGGAGGAAGAGGGAGCUUUCCGAGGCACAAAAACAACUCUGUUUACCAGACCACAAGCUCAAGACGGAGUGUUCCACAAGGUGGGGAUCUAGGCAAGCUAUGGUGAGGAGAAUACUUGAGCAGCAAGCUGCCAUCACCCAUGUCCUGUCUUCUGACCGCAAGGCUAGGCACCUCUUGCCAACAUGGCAAGACCUGGAGGUCCUGGAGGCUGUGGACAAGACUCUUACCCCAUUAGCAGACUUCACAGAUGCUCUUUCAGGAGAGCAGUAUGUCAGUGUCUCUUCUGUGAAACCUGCUCUCCACCUUUUCCAGUCUUCUGUUUUGGCUCUUAAGGAAGAUGAAUCUGACCUUAUUUGCACAAUCAAAUCAAAGAUUGUGGGGUAUCUGGAGGAAAAAAAUUAAUGACCAAAAAACACAAGACCUCCUUGACAUAGCCACAACCCUCGACCCCAGGUUUAAGAUGACUUACGUCAAUGAAGAUAACAAAACUGCUGUCCAAAACAAACUACAAGAUGAGAUGUCAAAGCUAAAAACAGUUGAGGAAAGUCUCCCUAUUACAACUAGCAGUAGCAGUUCUGCAAAGAAGACUCGAAAGACCUUAGGGAGCUUCUUCAAAGCAGCACAAAGCAACACAGGGCCAACAGAUCCAGCCUCACAGCAACAACAAUCCGUCAGCAUGGAGCUACAGUCUUACCUGUUCUUAAGCAACGCUGACAGUGAAGUUGAUCCAUUAGUAUGGUGGAAGGCUCACAAGGAGCAGUAUCCAAGAUUGUCUUCACUGGCCAGGAAAUACCUUUGCAUUCCUGCAACCAGUUCCCCUUCUGAAAGGGUUUUCAGCACAGGAGGCAACAUUGUCUCUUGUCGCCGUUCUGCACUGAAGCCACAAAAUGUUGAUAGGCUAGUGUUUCUAGCAAAGAAUCUUUAAAUUGCUUUACUCUGACCUAAUACCUUUGUAUAUAUUUUUUUAUGUUUAAUGGUGAUUUUUUUCUUUACAUUAUUACAUUAUUUUACAUUACUUUUCUUUAAAUUUAAAGCAAAGAGUAUUGUGUCUUACUUUACUGCUACUUUACUGCUGUUUGAUAACCUAUUGUUCAGGGGUAAAUCUUUAAAAUAAAAAAAAGUUCUCCAGAAUCGUGAGAGAAUCGUGAACUUUAUUCUAAGCAAAAAAAUCGUGAUUCUCAUUUUAUCUAGAAUCGUGCA